CGCAUCUGUGCAUGCAGCAUAUCAAUAAGCGGAGGAAAAGGCUGCGGAACUGAACGACCGCUACCUACGCUUAGGAUGUUGACGAGACUGUCGAUCUCAUCUGUACAUGGCUCUGUGCAUAUCAAUAAGCGGAGGAAAAGAAACUAACAAGGAUUCCCCUAGUAACGGCGAGUGAAGCGGGAAGAGCUCAAAUUUGAAAUCUUAAAGGGUUUCCCUUUACGAAUUGUAGUUUAAAGAAGUGUUUUCUGUUGAGGUUUUGGUAAAAGUUCUUUGGAAUAGGACAUCAUAGAGGGUGAGAAUCCCGUAUUUGACCUUUACUUUCAACUUUGUGAUACACUUUCGAAGAGUCGGAUUGUUUGGGAAUGCAGUCCAAAAUGGGUGGUAAAUUUCAUCUAAAGCUAAAUAUUGGCGAGAGACCGAUAGCGAACAAGUACCGUGAGGGAAAGAUGAAAAGAACUUUGAAAAGAGAGUUAAACAGUACGUGAAAUUGUCAAAAGGGAAGCGUUUGACACCAGUGUUGUUUUUCUGAAAAUCAAUUAAAGAACUGUUUAUGCUAAGUUGUUUAGACUUUAUCAGCUAACUGUUUAGUUUUGAGCUUUUCUUUAAUGCACUUUUCAGUUAACAAGUCAACAUCAAUUUCUUUUGCUGUAAAAAAGCUUGAGGAAGGUGGCUUGAGAUUCGUCUUAAGUGUUUAUAGCCUCUUGCCUAUGCAGUCGGAGAGAUUGAGGUCUGCAGCGUAGAUCCUUCGGGGCUAAAUGCAUUUGUGCUAAGUUAUAGCAUUUUAUAGACAACUUGUUGACUAUGAUUUGUCUUGUAGCUUACUCGCUUAUGUUAUUUUACCUACGCUUAGGAUGUUGAGCGCAUGUCUCUCUCU
rnacentral:rRNA from 1 species